rnacentral:lncRNA from 1 species
CACACACACACGCAUGUGUACACUUACAAAUGAAAGACACACCAAAACAAAUGCAUCAGUAACAGUGUCCUUCCCAGGCAGAGGACAUCCAGACCCUCAUAAACCAACGUGUUGGAGACGGAGCAGACCAGACAAUGAGCCUGUGGCCUUUACACGUAAACAGCAAUGACAGGAAAAGCUGCCAGCGUGACAAUGCCGGGAAUCAGUCGCUGUGAACAAAGAGCAGAGGAGGGAAAAGAGCAGAGGAGGAGGACUAGAAAAUGUAAGAAAACAUUCAUAUUACACUGGAUAGUGGAAUUUUUAUUCUUAUAAUUCAUACAGUAGAGAGAGGGUGAACUUCAAGAAUUUCUUGAUGUGUGUAACAAAAAUUUAAUAAUAGAUGUUAAAUUGCACAUGCAGGUAUACAUAUUGAUAAAAUGGGAAACUGCCUUAAGUAGGUAAAUCAAAAGUUGUAUGUCUGAUUUCCAGCCUGGAGUUCCUGGUUAUGUUCAAUCUGGCUCACUAUCAUGGUUCAGUGAAACAGAGUAAAUGCUGUUUAGAUACCUUCCCUAAUGAAACAUGUCUGCUGGGGGAAAAAAAGGCUAAUAGGAUGCAAAUCUGAGGACGGAUGAAUUGAAGCAUAUCCCACUGGCACAUGGCAACAUUUUUGCAUCAGCAUCGAACAUUGACAUCAAACUUAUAAUAGGAGAUGAGGAUGAAUCAGGGACUAUGAUCUUCCCUUGCUGUCCUCUAACACAGAUAGACAUCCAGGUCUGCUGCUACAGUCUCAUCCAGGUCCCCCUCUCUCUAAGACACGCUCACAUGCAGAGACGAGCAGCUGACUGGAACACGUGUUUCAGUCUGAGGAGCAUCUGUGGGUCCCCGACACUUGCUGCUACCUCCUGUCUGGGCUCAUGGCCAAAACUGAAACUGAAUACCUGAAGAGAUUUAACAGUUCUUACACUUAUUUUAAUGCUUUCUCGAGGCUGGUGAUAAAAAGUUUCCCAAUUAAAUGUUAACCAUUUUCUCAAGUCACAAGCUAGCACCCACAAAAUGACUGAGAGCAUGACCCCUGAGGUUAUGAGUCAUUUUAAGACUUCUGUUUACUUGCAAUAAGAGACAGAUGUGGAUUCAAUUCAGUCCAGGUCAUGCAUUUUGAAUCAGAGGAUCUAUUGUGGCCGUACCUUUUACCACAUGAACGAAUGACAAUGUAGAUUUGGGGAGAGAAGAAAAAAAGUAUUUUUUAUUCUCGGCACACAGUCUCUUCAAUUCCAUCCAGAUGAUGUUUUGGUAUAAACUUCAUGCUGGGGAUGUACUUUGUUUCUCUAUUCAGGCCAAAUGUGGCUGACUAAAUGAUGAUGGAAUACUGUAGCUGAUUCUUCCAUUCCCCAAGCCAAGAAACCAUCACACAACAGAUUUAUUUCUAUCUCCAACUCAUUACAUGAGAAAAUCACCAAACCAGAUUACUCUGGUUCUCAGUCCAAGCAUGUGUCUGUCUGUGACUCUCUGUCCUCUGUUGGUUUUAUUUCACUGCAGGUGAGGUAAGAAGAAAAUCCAUCUUUGAUAGUUACAUUUUCUGAAAAAUUGUCAAUCUGUGUUUUAAUUUUCUUGUUCGUAUGCUCUUUUUUGUCAAAUCUGCUCCCAACACAUCGUCUAGCUAAAUGACUUUUUCAUUCACUGAGCCCAUUUACUCCUUUUGCGCUUGAGAAAAUUGAACUCCCCGACUAAACAUCCAACCAAACAGCUGGUGAAGCUGAUUUUUUGGCCAUAGGAUGGAGCAGGAUUGCCAUGCAGCAGUGUUCCUCAAUCUUUAUCCUCUUCACGUUCCUCCUCUCAACUUCCCUGCCUCCUCCCUCCCCCCUUUUCCUCUUUGCUCACGUGGAUGCGGCGGGAGCUGCAUGAGCGGGAGCAAAAAAAAAGAGGCUCAUCUGUUUCUUACUGGGGCAGCUGUGCCCUCCUUUUUCCUUCCUUCUUUACUCACCUACUCUACACACCUCUGCUUUCGUUCAUUUCGCCUCAAUGUUCAUACCAUUUCUGUCUUUGUCUCAUCAUCUUUUCAUCUGUACCCUGAUCUGCUCUCAAGGUCAGGCUAGAAAACUUGUACUCGUCAGUAUUUUGCAUGUGAAAUCUCCGGCAGAGCUUCUUUUUGAUUAUCUCUCUGUGUAACUGCUUUACUGUGUCAAAACUAAAAGAGAGGGGUUUUUUUUCCUCUCUCUUUUUUUUGUGCUAAUCCUCAAUAUAACUGUAAUCUGUGUUUUCCUGUCCUAUCAAACACAUUGAUACUUCAUCUGUGGUGCUAGUGUGCACUGAACUUAAUGGUAAAAACUGUUGAAAUUGGAUGAGGACGUUAAACUCUGACCCCCUCCUACCCCGACCUGGGAGGUACACCAUGAAGAGAGGUUAGAGGGUAAUCUGGGUCUGUUCAGCGUCAACCCAGAAUUCUCAGUGGCACGAAUCUGUCUCUCCUUUAACAUCACCAUGGUAACUUGCUUUAAUCUCAUAGCCAGGACCAGAGUAUCGGCUGUUAAGUAUCAUAAUUCAAUUACUCAAUAUCUGAUGAUACUCUCUAAAGAUCAUCAUCUGAUGUAGUUUGGGAAUUUCUGGAACCAUCACGUCACACAUUUAAUAACACAGACAGGAAAUUCUCUCACACGCAGAAUGCAUCACUGCACAAGAGCCUUUAACUCAAUUUAAUCGAUUUCCCUGAGUCAUGAAUACAAUCAGCCUCCCCCUCCCCUCUUUUUGAGUCAGAUAAAAUUAACACUUAAAACUCAAAAUAUCAGUUAGAUCACCAUCUUUAUCCUUGAUCCACAUGAUUUAUAUGUUUCACUGAUUAAAUCAUCUUAUCUAACUAAUCAGGAUCUUAUUUGACAAGGUGCUUCACUUAUUUCCAUGUUUUGUUUGUUUUUAUUAAUCUGUUAAAAUUGCAAUCUCUGCCUGCACUGCACAAACCACCUGUAUCGUACUGAUGUUCAGAGUGUAUCUUUUGGGGAAAUGAAUAUAUGACCAUAAUAUCUCUCAUCUAUUAAUUUCUCAUGAGGGAAGAAACAUCAAAUAGCACGCUGAACAUUUACAGAGCCUGAAGCAGAGAGCUGGAGUUAACAGAUACGUUUCAUAACAAGAUUUUUGAUAGCAGGCAUCUCUAUCUGGAGCCACCUUUUCUAUAAAAGCCAGAGUAUGUUGAGCCCACCCCCUGCUGGGACUGGUAGUGUUUGGAGGUGUUUGCUUGUGGUAGUGUAAGUGUCUGUGGGUGUGUUGGUGUGUGAUUUGUGUCAUGCACCUGUCUGCUCCCACCCUCCUGCAUGCACGCUUUACCAUCAAGUCUAGCAUGAACUACGGCUGAAACGCUCCCUUUGGUUAAGAUGUUGAGAUAAGACUUAACUGAUCCCCAAAGGAGAAAUACCACAGACACAGUCAGCAAGUAAGAAUACAAUAGCAGAGAAAACAUUUAAAACCAAAAGGUAAUAAAUGAAUGAAAACAGAAUAUAGGGGAAAAAGUGAUAUAUACAGCUGUUAUAGUUAUUAUACAACUGUUACCAAUAUAGAGGUGAAGCUGUGGGUUAAAGUGACAUGGCAUGAUAUUAUGAAGUGACACAAAAGACAACUAUGAUAUUAUUAAUAAGGUUAAUAAACUAUUCAAAUGGAUUUUACUCAAUCAUAUGAUUUUACAGACAGAGUCAGAACCAUCGUCAAGGCUUUGGUCUCUCCUACGACAGUGAUGGAGACUCCAGCUCUUUUAAGUGUUCCAGAUCAGCUCAAUAAAUCCGUCUCUGUCGCCCCCAAACAGCUCUCUAAAAUACCGACUCAUUUUGUUACUAUGCAAGUCUCACUCAGCAGUGAGGCCUGUUGCUUUGCCUCUAAUUGACACCAUGUCAAAAAAGUCUGCUGUGGGUAAAUAAGUAAAGUGUUAAGUUUUCUUAUAGCAGUUUGCUUUUUGCAGCUCAACAACAAACAUGGCUGAGUUUCCUUGUCGUUAUUAUUAUUUUUUUUUACAGGUUGUCUGCGAUCAAACGAUUCAUCCAAUCAACCUUUGAGUAUGAAUCAGACUUGUGCACUUUCUGACUAUGUUCUGUUUCAAAUGAAAUAUAGUGUGAGCUUUAUUCAAAGAGUUUUUAGUGCUGCCAUUUGAUUUUUCUUAAUUGUGCCCUGACAUUUUUGACUCAGCUUGGACCAGUUUUGGAUUAUGAGUGUAAGAAUAAAAAGUCAAAAUAGUCCAGUUUCUGUCAUGAGAUUUAUUUAACCUAACCUGCAAUGGUCUCCUGAAGAUAGUUUGGGUAAUAAUGUUAAUCAUAGAAACGCAUCAUUUCUUAAAUCUUGUGUCAAAUGUGCCUUAAAACUCACAACUGCUGUAAAUACGGGGACACCAGAAAGAGGACACACUGAGAGCUAAAGAAUAAGAGUCAUGAUACAGAGAGUGGACCGGACGCAACAUCAUGUGGUUUUUUUUUUUUACACCUCACAAGCUGGGAAACUGAUAUGAUCAUGGGUUUUGGGGUAGAAACCAUGAACACGUUGAUGACUGGCCGCAGAGGCAAAAGAAGAAACAUACACUGGCCAGUCGUGAUAUUUUUCACUUUUGGACAUCUAGGCAUCUGUUUCUUUUGUCAUCUGGAUGGUGUUAAAACCAAAUUAAAAAAAAGAGAAACAAACAAAAUGGGUCUUGAGAAGCUUGGCAUGGCAUUGGGGAAAUCUCAAAUCUAGAUUGAAAAACCUGAUAAUGCAGUGGACCCGUCACACCCACGAAUCUUGGCUGAGUUACCAAACAUGAACACCACAAUUUCACGAGAGGUGUGAAGUACAUGCUGCAAGUGGGAGCUCUUCUGAGAACGGAGCUUCUUUAUUGUUUUGCACCUUUUACACAUUCUUCUGUGAAAAGACACUUAAUUGGUCUAAAAAUAUUACCAUUUAAAUGAACUUGGAGCUCGAGACUUUUGGCUACAGCUUUAUCUUCCAAGUAAAGCAAAUCUUUUUGAGCUGAGCACUGGCAUGUCUAUUAUAUCAUCAUCAUCUCUGAAGGGAAAGUGCUGCAAUUUGUGAGAUAUACUGGGAUAUCAAGAGUACAUAAAGCAGAUGUACACCACUCCGAUGUCUCUGUAUCUUGUUAAAUUGCAGAGAACUUGUUUUUAGUGUACUUUAUUUAGUGAGCAUUGUUGUUUAACCCUGAAACAGAGCAGGGCUGGCUGUUUCUUGCACAUAUCGUCAUUAAGCUCGUCAUUUUCUAACUGUAAACAAACAUGAGGUGUUACAUUCCUAUUUACGUGCGCAAACAUGAUAACAAGCAUAUUUUAAAAAGAUGUCAGACAAAUUGAAUCACACGCACAGUAAUCCUCUCUGCUCUCAUGCAGUCUAGAGAGGAUCCUCGGUUAUUCAAUCGUUUUCCUAUGAACUCUCUCUCACUCAGUAUUAAGUCCCCCUCAUGGACCAAAAUAGACAUGGAUUCUCCUUUGGGAACCACAGCAGAGAGAUUUGCAGGAAUAAUCCGUGUGCUUUUAUGAGUACGUGCAUGUGUGUGUGUGUGUGUGUGUGUGUGUGUGUAUAGACUCACACUCAUUAAUCCACGCCUUUGUUCAUUUCAAACAGUUUCACAAUUUAUGUGCACACUUUUCCCUGCAUUAAUUUAUAGUAAAGCCAGAUCCUCUACCUACCCACCUUAGCUGUUGAAGCCUGACGCUUUAAUUCUAACAUCUGAAGACUUUUUUAAACAUUUGGAAUUAAAAGUGAGGGGAUGAAAAAUUGUCUAAAAAAAAAAAAAAAGAUUCAACAAAACAGGGGAGGAAUCUGAAAAUAAAACUUUGGGACGGACUGAUUUUAUCAUGUUUUAGAUGGUUAAACUAAGAAGUCAUUUAACGCUGUUUGUGUGUGUGUGUGUGUGUGUGUGUGUGUGUGUGUGUGUGUGUGUGUGUGUGUGUGUGUGUGUGUGUGUGUGUGUGCAUGAAUAAAAAUGUCACUGCUUAAUCAGCAGAGUCAAGGGGCCCUAACAGGUUCAAAAACAACCACGACAGCAGAAUGAGAGAAAGAAAAAUAUGGGACAACUUUUCAAAUAGGGUGAGAGAGGCAGAACGCCUGCAGGGACACACACACACACACACACACACACACAAUAAUGGUUAUACAAUGAAAUAUUGUUAAUGUGUGUUAUUUUCUAGGCAGUAGCAAUAAUGAUAGGACUGUCAUGGCAAUAAAGGUCAAGUGAAUUCAAAUUGAAUGGGAGAAUAAUUGAAAGGGAGAGAGAGAGGAAGGGAAGGAGAGAAGGAGGGGGGCGCUAAAUAAGACAAAAACAACACAAACCAAACAUUCCGAGAACAGCCUGAGCGUAAAGAGGGGAGAAGAUUAACUAGGGCAAAGUUGGACAGGAGAAGGAAAGACACAAACACAGUUGAACAGACAGUUACUGGAGAUAAAGAGAAAAACCCAGACAGAAAGAUCACACCAUCAACUUUCACAGGUUAUUCAUUUUAUAUUUGAAAUACUCAAUGAGGAAAAACUCCUGUGUACUGUCCUGCUUCAAACACACAACAUUUCAGUCUGGAAUGAUGGUAGCAUUGACACAACUCCAUGGGCGCAUAAACAUCCAAAAAGACUGAGCCAAUUUUCACCCGCCCAACAGAGAGCCAAUGAGAUGAAUGAUCACCUAUAGGCUGCUUUCAAACAAUCCUAAAACCUUGAAGAAAUGGUUACCUCCUGAAUGCAUUAAUAAAGGAUAAUCAAUAAAUGCAUCAAGAUUUAACUGGCUAUUAUUAGACAAAAUAUACAAAAGUAGUAGUUGAUAACUGUUUAUUGCUCAGCAAUCUUACAUGGAUGGAUCAGUUUUCAGCAACUGGUUAAAAAUUAAAAAUAAAAUAGAAUAAAAUAAACUUUUUUCUAACACAAUUACAUAAGUGAUCUGAUGCAAAGUUUUGGUAACAUCCCCUGAACUCACCUUUUUUAGACCCUGUUCAAAGAUCCCCUCUCUAUACAGUAUCUGCCUCAUUUGGUAAAGCAGCUUAUCUUAUCUUUUAGCUGUGUGCACAAGCUGUGAUUGUGAAAUUUCAUAUUACACAAAAGAAGAACCUCUGAGAGAGACUAUUUUUAUCCCCAGAUCAACAACUGGUCGCAAUAAAAGGGUUACUGUUCUCUGAACUCUGGUAAACAUUUUGAUAUUACUGAGAUUCCAGCAGCAGUGGGAGAUCUGAAUGCUUAGACUCAAACAAGAUCAGCAGACAGAGAGAGAGAGAGAGAGAGAGAGAGGCAGAGAGACAGAGAGGCAGACAGGGGGGAAAACAGACCGAGGGAGGGACUGAGGUCAGUGCGGCCGCCAGCUGUUUGAGAUGAAUAGAGAUGAAUGUAGAGCAGAGGACAGCAGAUGGCGAGUCAGCAAUCUGACAGACACACACACGCACACACACACACACACACACACACAACAUAAGUUAGAAAGGCUCAAGAGGGCACUCACGAGACCUGAAAGAAGUCUGAUGGUUGCCACAUUAUCAAUUCUACACACUGGGGAUUUUUUACACAUGCAGAGGGGAGUGGGAUGUUAAAAAUAUAAAUAACCAGUGCAAAGAUAUUUCAAAAUGUUUUUUUUUUUCAUUUUCUGCAAGUAUUUGGGUUUAAAAAGAGAAAAAGAGCUGAGAAGUUAACAUUACAGCAUAUUUCACAAACAAACAGAAUGCAUAAAGUUCUCAGCGAUGGCAGAUGAGGUAAGUUAUACAAAUAGAGAGCAGGUUUCAUAUGUGCCUGAGGAAUGUCGUAAGAUUUUAUCAGAUUUUACGAAAGCAUCCUUUAAAACAGAGGGUUAAAAAAUCAUGUUUAAACAGACCUGAGUAGAUGUAAACACACUGAGCCUCAGCUGCACCCAACCUAACUGCACGACCAUUUGCUCUAUAUACAAAAAUACCCACACUGUGGUCAGGGGAAGUUCAGAGUGGUCGCCCACUGACAGCACGGUGGACUUAUGCAAUUCUCUGUAGCUACAGAGCAAACAGCCUCCACCCUCAGUUAACUGCACUGUCUGGUGCACUUACCUCCAGUCUUUAGUGGAGACUGCACACAAAAACAGAGCUGGUGCCAUCAAAUUAACAUUACAAGGGAAAAACUCAUAUUUAAAAACAAGCUUAGGUCUCACGCUGAGUGUUAUGAUGGUCAUGGACAUGCAGACAGCAGCUGUAGAAAACUGGUGACAUAAAUACACUUGUUUUAAACAAGAUUUAGAUUGAGGUUUAGAUUUAGAUUAGUGAAAAAGAGCAAGGGCAAAAGCUGCAGGGGAUUACAGAUAUACUGCUGAUCUAAAAAUAGUACAUACAAAUGCACAGAAACUAAUGUUUUCAUUGUUAUUCCACAGUUAAUUAGCGCUGAAUUUCUGAAUGUAAAUUAACUCUGUUCUGGCACUCAGUGACAUGACAGGUGAUUGGCACACAGGAACAAUGCACAGUGAGAGACUGUGUCAUUAGGUCCCCCCUAAGGAAACAAUGUAGUGAAAGCUAAAACUAAAGACAUAAGACAGGAUUAAAAAAAAAACCCUGAGAAAAAUAAGUAAAUUGAGUGAACGGCUUAAAAGGAUAAAAAUACAUAAGAUAAUAAAUAAAUUACUACCAAUGAUAAUAAAACAAAUGUGAUUAUUUAAGAUUAAUAUCAUCUUACAAGAUAGAACCAACAACAUAAAAUAAGACACAACCACAUGAGAACGUAAGAUGAAUUUAAAAUACGAGUUAUACGCCUGAUUAAAAGGUCUUUAGCGUUCCUACUUAAACAGUCUUGGGACAAAUGAAUAUUUAUUGAGCUACCUAUUUUAAUUUCUAUUUCUAUGUUAUUACUUUCAGGUGAGUAUUUAUUCAUUGAUUGAUUUUAUUGCUAAUUAAAUUCAUACAUUUUAUCAUCUUAAGUAUGUGCUCAGUGUCAUCAUGUUAAUGCUCUGUCCCACGAUAGACACGCCCAUUAAUGCUCUGAUAACUGACCCUCAAAUAGCGAAAGUGUAUGCUGGCUAGGCUUUGAUUUAGUGUACAUUUAAAACUUUAGUUCACUUCACUAAGGGGAUCAUCCUCCUCCUUGGAGAAUGUACUAAGACAACUUACCCUUUAAGAAAACCUUCCUCUCUGAAUGAUUACUAUGAAAACUCAAGUCUGCAAUUUAGCACUAACCCACACCAUGUGACUCUGCUCUUUGACCCAUAUCUAUUGAGAAAAGAGGAUGUGUGCUUAGAGCGCACUCAACACCUCAGAGACAGUCUGAAUUGCGCACACGCAAAUGCAAAUACUUGUGCACACACUCUCAUGAGUCAUACCUGCUGCCGAGAUACAGGGUGAGAUUGUGUCAAAGGGCAAAGAGAGUCAAUAUUGUGCGCUGUGUCCACAGAAAUCUGAGGCUAAUCGGUGCCACCGACACGUCAGUUUGUCUUUGAAGUGUGAUAACAGGACACUCUGAGCUGCUGCAUAAAUCUGACAUUCGUGGAUCUGGUGCAUUAAAGGGAACAGCACAACAAAGUUGAAUGUUAACAUAGCUACAGGCUUUUGUACCGAUUAAGAUUGUGAUUAUGGUGAUGAAUGAGAGUAAGGUGAAUAUUUUGUCCUGUCAAAACAGCGUUUGGGAUAAUACUGGUGCAUUUAUUCCAUUUCAUCAACUGUAAAAUGUAGCAUGUCCAGAGAAAAUACGGAGUGUACUCCCUGUAGACUUGCUGAACAAGACUUUUAUAGAAACAGUGGCCUGGGUAACAUGAUCUGCUGUAGAUAUUAACAACAAACUGACUCAUGAGUGAAUGAAUGAGUGCUUCAGGGAUGUGGAAAAGAAUGUCCUUAAGAUCAUAGAAAUACAGGUCAGGAUAAAGUCCAUGCCAGAGGGAGUAUUUGAUUCACGGUUGAUGGGAGGGUAACACAGGUGGAGGGCUGAAAGGUGUCUCUAAAUAUUCAACCUUUGUCAGUUUGAGUAUUGUUUUUAAAAUUCCACAGUAGACGCAUGGGUUUGUGUUUGAUCAUACUUGGCUAGUGUGUAUUUUAAGCUUGUUUUAAAAUAUACAAUUGUUCCUGAUUGUUUUGUUUAAAUGUCACUUCCUAAAAAUUGUUGUUUUACGCAGCUGGCUGUAAUUUUGUAUUCAUACAUAGUUUUUCAUUCAAUCUGAUCAACUAGGGUGCCUGCUUGAGUUCAUGCCACCUACAAUGAAUGCUAAUUUGAGUUUGACAAUGUAGAAUCUGAUCUUGAAUUGUGGAAAUGGUGCAUUAGGGUAAAGAGGAUGUAGGCCUGUUGAGAACUAAAGCACUACCCUAUUCUGCAUGUUUAAAGGUCAGAUGGUGUGUGUUUCAUAGGUAUUUAUAGAGCUUUAUUGAGGAAGAAAUCUUAACUUUGCAGAGAGAAAUUUUAAGCUCACGAAUGACAGCAUAAAAAAUAAACAACAGAAUCAAGAGGAGAUAUAAAUAUAUGUAUAUUUUAUGCCAAACAAACUUAAGCCGCUCAAACCUCAAAUUAAAAAGGACAGACAACCAUAGACAUCCAACAUUAAGUCUAUGCCACACAACAUCAUGCCAACACUAACUCAAACCAGCUACUCAUCUACAAGUGUGCAAGCAUGUGUAGUCCAUACAAACAGCAACAACAACAAACAGCAGCACUGACAAGCCAUUGUCAUCAGACAUCAAUAAAUAAAGUGAGAGCAGCGACUUACUCAGGACGGUUUCAUCGGGGCAGCGCUCGACAAGCUUUAAACCAAAACGACCAGAAACUCAGGCAGUUUACAUGAAAAGUCCAGUUUGUAAUCUCCAUAUGUCCCGGUGUACCAGCUUUUCAACUAUUCCGAAAUUUAGUCGACGAAACGCGGCUGGCGACUUCACACAGCAAGUCCGCUGUCACGCGAACUCCAUGGUACAAACAGACGCCGACAUUUGGACUUUUUAACAGUAUUUCAAAUCCUGGAUGGCACUCAGGUGAUGCUGAUUGAUACCUGUCCGGAUGACGUCACGACCAUCGUGCAUUGCGUUUACUUUUUCUGCGUUUACUCCUUCACCUAUUUCAUUCAGUCUGUUUAUGUUGAGUGGCUAUAGUCUGUUGGUGCAAAAUCAGUUUGAUUUCCCUUGUAAACAUUUCAUUAGGGCACUUUUUUGCAGUUUGUAAAUGACACGCAGUUCAAUAAAGUUUAUUCAAAAAAUAUCAGAAACCCCAACCUGGAUAGUAUUUGCUGUGUGUUGGUUUUGUGAAGUAACAGCAAGAAAACAAAAACAUUUGUUGAUUUAAAUAACAUUAUAACCCAGUGUAAGAGCCAAAAUAUAUUUGUUUAGGAUAUGAUUUCUACAGGUACGUCACUUCCGGGGAUCGUCACUGAGGGGUGUGGUUUUGGGAUGUUUGGCGGGUGAUUUAAAUCUCACCGGUGUAGUGACGGGCACGGUAGUUCUUUUAGAUGUACUGAAUCACUAGAAUCAGCUCACUUAAAUGAUUAGUUCAAAAGAUUCGUUUACUAAAUCACCGAAUCAUGCAGUGCCUGUCAGGAGAAGCCUGUGACUCCAACCUCCUGAACUGAUACACAGCCAAACGUUUCAGGAUUCAGUUCAACUCAUGGCUUCUGGGACUGGGAAAUGAGAGUGUUUGGCUGUGUUGCUUUGGCAAACAGGUUUGUAAAAACGAAAUUGUUUAUAAGUCAUGAUGUUUUAAGUGCACUGUCCCAUGGUAUGCUAUUUAUCAGGUCUGCUUGGUAAACUGGGCUCAGUGAGUGAUUCAUUCACUUAAUGUUUAUAAGAAUUCAAACUGAACAUGCAUUGUUUCCUCGCAAACCGUUUCAAUGAUAGGAUGCUGCGCGUUUAAUGCACUACUUGUUACAUGCUGUGUCUUAUUGUAUGCAAGCUGUUGUGUUGGCAAUUACGCAUUAAAAAAGGGCAGUUUGGUCAGACAAAAAUGGUUCCAGAGGGUGAAGUUCAAUGCGUGAUUCGUUCACCAAGCGAUUCAGGUGUUGGUGCAUGCAGUCCCUCAUUCUCCGGCUGGCAAUGCUGUUUCUAACUUCAGCACAAUUGAAGUGAGAAAUGAAUGAAUCACUCGAGGAAGUGAUUCGGUUCAGCACGUUCACUUAAAAGAUUCUGUUCUUUUGAACGAAUCGUUACCGAAUGACACAACACUACACCAGUGUAGUCAGACACUGGGGUUGUGGUAAGCUUUUGUUGAAGGAAAGCAGUCGCUACACCUAGUAUUAUCAAUUUUGCUGUGGAUAACCAUAGUGUAUGGUUAUGGUCAUCCACACCAAAGAUUUUGUUUUUUUUUCAGCGGGGUCAGUUUACAAUACAUCCUUAGGAGGCUUGAAAUUGGAGUUUUACAAUCUUAUAAACCUGAUACACAAUCACAACUGAAUAAUGGUCAUGUUGAUUGUUUUGUUGUUGUUGUUGUUUGGUAUUGGUAUGCACUUUUCAUGUAGAAAUUUCAUGCAUUGUCAUGUAUUGCAGUUUUUUAUUGGACCGAUGUAGUUGUGGUUGCUCAAAAGAUUUCUAAAUAAUGCAAUUUGUGCUGAUUUAGAUUUUUUUGUUUGCUUGACAGGACCCCAAGAAGAGGAGAAGCUAAUGGAGAUCCAAGGUAAUAGAUAAUUAAAUCAAUAUAUACAUUGACUCAGACUGAUGCUUUGAGUCAGUGAAUUCAAGUUCAUUAUAAGAGGAGGCUUUCUUGAUAAUUAUUCAAAUAACCAAGGUAAGUGUCUUGGUUAUAAAUGAUAUGUUUCAUGGUGUAUGUAGGUCAUGUAUGAAGUCAGAUCUGCAUUCAUUAUCUAGGCCACUAAAUGAUUUGCUAGAAGUUAGGAAUCACUGUAAGCUUGGCUGACUUGUAGGCUGUCAGGUUAAACUGUCAGGGCGAGGAAGUAAAGUGGGACACAACGCUACACCAUACAAAGAGUAAGUCAGAGGAGAGAACCUGAUCCCGAGUACGAUAUGGAUCCCAUUGUUGCCAGAAUCAAUCUUUGAAAAUGAGGGAUGGUUUCUGUGGUGUUGAUAUUUUGGUAUCGUGCUGUCAGCUUGGCAGCAUGGGUGUUGGUGUCUGCUCUAAUGUGGACACUAAUCCGGUGGGUCUAUCAUUCACUUUGUGAAAUUUAAUUAAUUUCCCCAUGACAAUUUACUUUAUUAUAAAUAUCAGAUUGAACAACAAAGAUGGACCAAAGUCAGACUGCUUUCAUGAAGGAGGCUAUAGACCCAGAGCAGCAACAGCACAGAUUAAAUAUUAAAACGCUUAUGCAACAAAGGGCACUUGUUAAGUUUUUGGGUCCCAUAUAAACUGGUAAUGCAGCAUGGAUGAACUCUAUAAUUUGUUUGUGUAGAGUCUCUCAAAUGGAGACACUUUAUCCCCAGCAGUCCCAUUAAAGAUGGAAAAUAAACAGAACAGUGUGUACACAUAACAGUUCAGAAAUUAGUCAGGGUCAUUGAUAAUGACAGUGAGAUCUUUUCAAGCAGUACCCAGAAGUAUAUUUCCAAGACCGAGUGCUGCAACAAUGGCCUCAUUCAGCAACUGUGCAGAAGUAGGACACUUCUUGUGCAGCUUCAUUACAGCUUCAUGGGAAAUCAUUAUUCAGUUCGACCGGACACAUAAGUGAUGCAUACACUAUCAAACUGUGUGCAGAAGGUACCUUUAUUAUAUACUGGAGGCUACACAUAUAUGACAACUUAUACAUUAUGAGUGAGUAUUCUGCUAUCACAAAGAAGCAAGGAAAACCUAUCAAAAAACUAUUCAUGUCAUUUGCAAAGGUAGGACAAACACAUAUUCUAUAAGACAUGAAGAAAGCUGCACAGAAUCUGUAGAUAUACUCUAUGAUGAUUUGACAGAUCAUUUAGUACAUAGUGACUUUAUGGCAUAUGAUUACUUCCUUAAGUCAUGCUCAUAAACCAUUUUCUUUGAUUUACAUAAGAUAGGGUCAUGCAUGCAAAUUAGUGUCAUAAAUACCACAGAUCUCUAUUUCAUUCAAAACAACCUAAAGCAGUCCCAUACAGUCAGUGAUAUAAUCCGCCUCAAGAAAGGCAUCACCAAGUCUUUGAGGAAAUUAUCACACCAGUGAUUAAAACACACCUUUUGAUGUUUAUGGAUGAUCUUUUUACAUGCGGAUCAUAUAAUGUUUUAAGAAGUUAAAUGUAUUUUUUUUAAUAUUAUAAAACCAGUGGUGAAAGCACUAAGUUGAAACCAUUUGUUUAGUAGGUGGUGCCAAAUGAUACUCCAAAUCUCUAACAGUGUUUGACAAACCAACCCUGAGCCUUCCUGAAUAAAACAAUCAGAAAGAGAGAUAUCGCAGUGGAUAGAAAACAUAUUAGGUUGUUUCACUAAAAAGGUAAACAUUGAGCUUUCUCGCUGCCAUUUUUUCUGCCCAGUUGCCAUUGCUAGACGCUUUUGAGCCUUCCUUGUUCUCCUCAGCUGUCUUCCUCCAGCCAGUGACAUCAUUCCCCUUUCACCCAGUUCUCUGACGGCUGCGGUAAGAGGUAACCAGCGGUCAAAACGAGAGGCGUUCACUGGCUCUCUAAAAGCUCGUGCAGCAAAGAUUUAAUAGUGAAAGUGGGUAGAGUGAGUAGUUGCUGGUCAGAAAACAUGACUCGAGUUGAAGACGAUUUGUUAAAAGUUUGGUUGGUCAAUGAACUCCUUUAACAGAGCCACAAAGGGGGGCGUUCAAUCAAAUGGAGAGUGCAUAUAUUGGGGAAACUGUUCGACAUAAGUCAAUACACCCAGAGUUUUUUUUUUUCUCUUUUCUUUUUUCAGCAGGGUCAGUUUGCAAUAGAUCCUUAGGGGGCUUGAAAUUGGAGUUUUUUUGUAGCUUACAAUCUUAUAAACCUGAUAUACAAUCACAACUGAAAAAUCUCUUGGUCAUGUUGUAUUGUUUUGUUGUUGUUGUUUGGUAAUGGCAGAGCCGGCUGACGGCAUAAGCGAACUAAGGGCCUGCUUAGGGGACCCCCAAGAGCAAUCAGAAAAAAAAAAAUAUAUAUAUAUAUAUAUAUAUAUAUAUAUGCUUUCUGUAUGAUUAAAUAUAUAUUAUUGAAAAAAUAAAGUAAAAACAUUUUAAUGCUGCUGCUGAUGUAGGCCUAUGAGUCUUACUGCCGAUAUGUCAAAGCUCUGCUACAAUUAUGUGCCUUCUGCUGUGCAAUGUGCACAGAGCAUCCAAAGCGCUGGUAGGACAGUUUGGACAGAUGUAGUUGUGGUUGCUCACAAGAUUUCUAAAUAAUGUCAUUUGUGCUGAUUUUGAUUUUUUGUUUGCUUGAUAGGAUCCCCAGAAGAGGAGAAGCUAAUGGAAAUCCAAGGUAAUAGAUAAUUAAAUAGAUAUAUGCAUUGACUCAGACUGAUGGUGUGAGUCAGUAAAAUCAAGUUCAUUAUAAAAAGAGGCUAACCCAGGUAAGUGUCUUUGUUAUGAAGUGUAUGUUCCGUGUACCUGCUCGUUUGCAUGUACCCCAAGAUGUUCCGACUGUCCCUGAAAGCCUCACAAAUGCCGACGUUGCAUGCAGGAGGAGAGACACAGGCAGACAUAGACCAAUGUUUACUUGACACAGAAUUCUUAUCUCAAUGCCAGCUUUCUCCUAAGGUUUCCCAUAGUUUAUACAAGCCUUUCUGUGCAUUUUCUCCUUUAUUGAGAGACGAUUUAUAGAUAAACACACUGAUGAACGACCCAAUCGCGUGAGCGUUUUUCUCGCAGAUGGUUUUGUCUUUAAAGCUGCUCCGGCUCUGCUCUCUCUCUUUAGGCGAACACUUUUCACUUUCUCUGUAAAGUGGACAGAUGUGGUACAAUGUACAACACAGUGAUAAAUUUAGGCAACCCGAUCACAAUCCCCCUCCUUCACUGCUUACCUUCAUCACACACUGCCGGGGUUACUAUCGGACAACCUCCCCCACCCCCCCUCACUCUGAGAGCUUGGGUUACUAUCGGACAAACCUCCUUUCCUUCUCCUCUUCUUCUUGCUCUCAUCCUGCAUGGCGGUAGCUGCAUCAUGAUUUGAUGGCUGUGUGUUUUGCUUUUUAGAAAUACCAUAAGCAGAGGUGUGUAGGUCGGAGUUUUGUACGGGCUUGAAAACGCAUAUUACACAGGGAAUAGUGCAGCUGAAUUUAUUCCAACUGAGAACAGAUUGUACAACGUGAGCUGCGGUUUUGUCUGGUGUUAUUGUCGGUGAAAGUGAACAAGGAGAAGCUGAUACCUUCCCUGAUUAGGUUACCUCAAGCACCUUAAUCAAGGAAGGAGAAUGCUUCCCUGUCGUAAAAACAAAAUGAAAGAGACGUGAAUCAACAGGUUGAAUUACAGUCUAAAACAAAUAUAAGUCAUUUCAAUUCCCCAUUCCUGAAAGAAACUAUAACAAGCCACUCUCCUUAUCUUAUAACUAAACAGCACUGUAUGCAUUUCCUCAAUUGCCCUAAUUAAAAAGAAAGUCACUCCCAAUGUCUUUUUAUCAGCUCAAAUGAAUGUGGAACAUAUGUUCCCAUGGAAAUGUCCCUCAAGCAAAGCUUCUAUGAGUAUUACAGUCCAGUUUCCUGGGUAAUCGAAUGGUUUGUAUUAAUACUGCACACAUCAAUGCCAACCAUAAAAGAGAUUUCUACACUGUAAAUAUGCGAUUACAGGCGUGAUAGGUAUUGGGCAAGCUUACGAUUUACAUAGCUUUUUGUGGAGCGAUUAGAAAACCUGAUAUGAUCCUGACAAAUGUGAUUACUUACUCCUCUUUAUAUGUCUGCACCUAUAGUAUCAAGGGUUGUUUUGUAAAAGAACAAUAAGUUACACAGUGGCACAUCACAUGAUAUGAUGUGAUAUAAUAUGAUAUGAUAUGAUAUGAUGCAGUAUAACACAAUGUAAUACAACAGAACACUAUUAGGAUACAAUUCUAUAUGAGCUGAUAGGAAACGAGAGAGUAUGACAGAUGCAGGAUGAGAUGAAUGAGAUAUCAUAAUAGACUGAGGUGGGAAAACAUGACACAACAGAAUAUGAUCAGAUAUGUUAUUUAAUACAAUAUCACUCUAUUUGAUACAAUGUGAUACUCUGUGAUUUGAUAUGAUAGAAAUAUUUAAAAAUGAAAAGAUCUGAGAUGAAAUAAUACUUGAAGAUGGAUAGGAUCUGAUAUUAUACAAUAUGUUACAAUAUAAUUUAAUUUGAAAUAAAAUGAUACAACACACAAAAAAAACUAUACAACAAGAUAUGUUGUAAUAUGAUAUGUUAUGCUAUCUUACAGUGUGUUUGAGUAUGAUACAGCACUGUGAUAUCACCUCUGAUACAACAAAAUAUGUGAUAUUUCAUUUUAACAUUAUAUACUCGUUUACUGAUUUCUUUUUUUCCUGUAGUUCUUUGCAAAUUAUUCUCCUCCCUUACAACAUAAGGUCUUUGUGGUUUAAAGACUUUUUCCUAAUGUCUUAAAGAAAAGGAUGAUUAAUUUGAAAGACAAUAGUAUUGAGUUUCCUGCAGCUUUGACUACAAAAUAAUCUAUGAGUGUCUUGAGCUCCUAAGUGGGUUAUGGAGCAGUGAGUCCAUCAGUGCUAAGAGUAUAGACUGCUUCACGCUGUGCCAGCCAAAACAACCUAUUGUUCUCCAUCUAGUGAGAAUGAUAGCACCUGACAGCUUACUACGAGUAAUCACAAAGAAUGAGAUCUGAACCGCUGAGCCACAAACAGGGAGGAACAUUCUUGACUUUACUACCACACAUUGUCCUUUGGCCCUCCUGUACAGUCUGAUGAAUUUGGAGUAUGCAGGCGAUCUAACCCCAGCCUGAGUUCAGGGCUGGACCAAAUUGGAAACUAUGUGCCUGUGAAUAAUAUUUAAAAUCUGUCAAAGCAGUUCAAAACAGAUACAUUUGCAGUUUUAUGUCCUAAGAUAUCCUUUUAACCCUAUUUGUAAGUCCAUGUGUUGGCCAUUCAUUAAUUCAUGAUGUAACAAAAAAAUGACAGAAUGUUAAAAGGAUUUUUAAAAAAGUAUUAUUUCCCUGUAUUAAUUUGUAAUUGAUCUUUUUUUUUCUGUGGCCAUGGUUUUAAAGAUAACUCACUAAGCAAAGUAUUUUUAUUUAGUCACUGGGGAGGCCUGACAUUUUUCCAAAGACUUCAAACUUGACCCUCAUCCAGUAUAACAAAAACAUGCUUUUACGAUCAACAAAAUUAUGUAACAUCCAAGAAAAUACUAACCAUUUAAAAAAACACAACAGCAGCUCCUCAAUGACUGCAGCUGAAAUGAAUUCUUCACUAAAUUCUUCAGAUAAACAAGCAGCUCAGUCAUUCUGGAUGUUUGUCAUCCAUCUUCAUCCAUGCAGCGAGCUCUUUGAUGGAUUAAAAGACUACUCACUGUGGCUGAGGAUUUCAUUAGACCCCAUACUAGGUUGUAGACCUUACUGUAGCUGAACCAUCUUUAUUGUACAUCCACAAACUGUGGAAGAAAUGCCCCUCCACUCUGUUUUGAUUGUGUUUAUCCUUAUGCAUAUUUCUAAAAAUUUAAAACAAGCUAUAACUGAUGUCGUCUCUUAAUAUUAUUCAUCAAAGAAGAUGUCCUCUUCGGGACUUCAGCGGAGCAAUUGAUUUCACGGAUAGAUAAUUUUGGGAAAAAUUGGCCAAUUUUUGAAGAAAUGGCUUUUCAUCCUACUCUGAAAAAGACAAGUAAGAGCAGUGUUAAAAUGUAAACACGUUUCUCUUUUUUAAUAAUGUAUCCCCUCUUAUUAAAUAAAGGACAGGAAAAAAGGGGUUUGGCUGUCCUCUGUUACUUGUGUUUUAUUUACAGUAAUUGCACCCUGAAGCAAAGGGAGCAGAGUAAAGACAGGAGGCACAGGAGGCCAGAUAAUCACUGCCAGAUGGUUGUCAUGUUCUUCAGACUUAGAUAGCCUGCUCCACAUGUCAGGCUCCUGCAGUUUCCUGAUGCAUCUUCAAAAGCAA